rnacentral:rRNA from 1 species
CAGCCGCCGCGGGAAUACGAAGGGUGCAAGCGUUACUCGGAAUUACUGGGCGUAAAGCGUGCGUAGGCGGAUAUUUAAGUCAGGGGUGAAAUCCCGAGGCUCAACCUCGGAACUGCCUUUGAUACUGGAUAUCUUGAGUCCGAGAGAGGUGAGUGGAACUCCUAGUGUAGAGGUGAAAUUCGUAGAUAUUAGGAAGAACACCAGUGGCGAAGGCGGCUCACUGGCUCAUUCUAGACGCUGAGGUGCGAAAGCGUGGGGAGCAAACAGGAUUAGAUACCCCUGUAGUCCCUGUCUCUUAUAC